UACGUAGGGGGCAAGCGUUGUCCGGAGUCAUUGGGCGUAAAGCGCGCGUAGGCGGCCCGGUAAGUCCGCUGUGAAAGUCAAAGGCUCAACCUUUGAAUGUCAGCGGAUACUGCCGGGCUAGAGUCCGGAAGAGGCGAGUGGAACUCCUGGUGUAGCGGUGGAAUGCGCAGAUAUCAGGAAGAACACCAACGGCGAAGGCAGCUCGCUGGGACGGAACUGACGCUGAGGCGCGAAAGCGUGGGGAGCGAACAGG
rnacentral:rRNA from 1 species